CUCAACUUCCCAUUCUCUUUCUAAGAACUCAAUUCUCCAAUUCUCUGUCUUCUCUCUACCAUUCCUUCACAUUCUCUCGUUGCAUGUUGGUUUAGGUGUUGUCCAAGCAUCCGCGACGUAGAGGGCUCCAUUUCUACCGAACGUUUUCUUCAUUCCGACUGGGCACUGUUUAGGUCCUUGUUGCGAGGUACUGUUAGAGCUUUCUAGGGGAUUGUACUGCUCAACUCCAAGAUGUGAGCAGAAGCGGAUAGGGUGCCUCUGGAGCAAGCUUUGGAGGAAGACGAUGUUGUUGCUUAGUAUCCUUAGGGUUCUCCUAGUGUGUUUCUUGUAUUUCGAAUUAUUCAGUUGUUAUGGAUCUCCCUGUGAUUCCUACCCUUUUGAAAUACUCCUUUUGAUUUAAGUUUUAAAUUCCGACUAUAUUUGGGAUGACUGUAAGCUUAUCAACUCUAUUUACAGUCUAUUCUAACUGUUCUCUUUUA